rnacentral:rRNA from 4 species
GGUGGCGGCUAUACUGACGUUGUCCCACCCGAUCCCAUUCCGAACUCGGAAGUGAAAUACGUCAAGGCCGAUGAUAGUAGUUUAUCUGCGAAAGUAGGUAGCCGCCACCC